AUUUCCAUUCGUUCUCCUGGCGCUGCUCGAAGUCCUCUAAGAAGUUUUUUCUCUCUGUUUUACAGGGAGAUACUGGCCUCCCGGGUCCAUCAGGGCUUUCUGUUACAAGAGAAGGUCAGAAAGGAGAUCAGGGGCCGCAGGGCAUCGCCGGAGAGAAAGUAAGUGUUUUUUUAUUUUAUUUUUUUAUCUCGACGCUGCAUUAAUGAAGCCGGGCUUUAGUGUCCUC
rnacentral:lncRNA from 1 species